UACGUAGGGGGCAAGCGUUAUCCGGAUUUAUUGGGUUUAAAGGGUGCGUAGGCGGUUUGAUAAGUUAGAGGUGAAAUACCGGUGCUUAACACCGGAACUGCCUCUAAUACUGUUGAGCUAGAGAGUAGUUGCGGUAUGCGGAAUGCGCGGUGUAGCGGUGAAAUGCAUAGAUAUCGCGCAGAACUCCGAUUGCGAAGGCAGCAUGCCGGCUCCACACUGACGCUGAGGCACGAAAGCGUGGGUAUCGAACAGG
rnacentral:rRNA from 1 species